rnacentral:lncRNA from 1 species
UGAUAUGUGGUAGAAAGUGUGCUGUGCUCUAUAAAUAUGUCAUGUGAUUAUCUUUUUGAAAAUCUUAUGUGAAUGACAAGAUAAUAUUUUCUUUCUUACAGAAGGAAGCUGAAAUUGGAAAGGCUACAUUUCUUACUCAAAUUUGAGGUGAAGCAACCAUGGUGCACAGAACAAAUGUUUAACCAUGACACUCGCUUGUACUAAGAGGGAUGUGAUAAGUCUGCUUGGGAGUGUAGUGUGGGCUCAGAAGCAACAGUGCAAACGAUGAAUCCAUGCAAAAGGAUGAAUCUGUCUCCUUUGUUGGAAAAGAAAAGCAUCCCCAGGCCAGAACUGUGGUGAUAAGACCUUGAAACCUGUUGACCAGUACCUGAAAGCAAGCUUCUCCAAACAUAUUAAUGCAAUAUUCCAUGGCUGAUUUUCUGAUUACAGACAAACUAUUCUGUAUUGGCUGUUUCUGCUCCUCCAGCUGUAAGGGCGUCUCCUGCUUCCAAAUAACACUGGUGUAGAACAGUACAGAAGUGUCACAGUUCAUCUUCUUAGGACUAAGCAAUGUCCCAGAACUGUAAGUCCCCUUCUUUAUCACGUUUGUUCUCAUCUAUCUCGUCAAUGUGCUUGGAAACUUGGGGAUGAUCAUUU